UACGUAGGGGGCAAGCGUUGUCCGGAAUUAUUGGGCGUAAAGCGCGCGCAGGCGGUCGAUUAAGUUUGGUGUUUAAGGCUGAGGCUCAACCUCAGUUCGCACUGAAAACUGGUUGACUUGAGUACAGAAGAGGAAAGUGGAAUUCCACGUGUAGCGGUGAAAUGCGUAGAUAUGUGGAGGAACACCAGUGGCGAAGGCGACUUUCUGGGCUGUAACUGACGCUGAGGCGCGAAAGCGUGGGUAGCAAACAGG
rnacentral:rRNA from 1 species